UGAACGAUACUUGAGAGAAAUGGUUCUUUUGUGUACAUAAAAAAAGUCUUAGAUCUUUGAGUUCAGCUCAUAAAAAAUGGGGGCAAAAACAAAAGUGUUGCGUUUAUAAUUUUGAGUAUAAAUAAAAUUGGCUUGACUUGACCCCAUAACAUUGAGACAGAGUCACACAUUUUGAUAGUGAUUCCAGAUAGGGCAACAUUUCUCUUACCUGAGUGCAGGAUCCCUCCAUAAAACACAGACAGCA